rnacentral:snoRNA from 11 species
UUGGUAUGAUGAUGAACAUAACAAUUAUUUUCUGAUGAUUCUUGAUUGAAUAAUAACCUCCUACUCAUUCUGA